UGGGGAAUUUUGCGCAAUGGGGGAAACCCUGACGCAGCAACGCCGCGUGCGGGACGAAGGCCUUCGGGUUGUAAACCGCUUUCAGCAGGGAAGAUUCAGACGGUACCUGCAGAAGAAGCUCCGGCUAACUACGUGCCAGCAGCCGCGGUAAUACGUAGGGGGCGAGCGUUAUCCGGAUUCAUUGGGCGUAAAGCGCGCGUAGGCGGCCGCCUAAGCGGAACCUCUAAUCCCGGGGCUCAACCUCGGGCCGGGUUCCGGACUGGGCGGCUCGAGUGCGGUAGAGGCAGGCGGAAUUCCCGGUGUAGCGGUGGAAUGCGCAGAUAUCGGGAAGAACACCGAUGGCGAAGGCAGCCUGCUGGGCCGCCACUGACGCUGAGGCGCGAAAGCUGGGGGAGCGAACA
rnacentral:rRNA from 1 species